rnacentral:rRNA from 1 species
CGUGCGAGAAAGGGGAAACCCCGGUAAAGCGGCGCACGGGUGAGUAACACGUAGGUAACCUACCCCCAGGUGGUGGAUAACCUUCCGAAAGGAGGGCUAAUACAGCAUGAGACCACGAUCCCGCAAGGGAUUGAGGUCAAAGUCGGCCUCUUCAUGAAAGCUGGCGCCAGGGGUUGGGCCUGCGGCCCAUCAGCUAGUUGGCAGGGUAACGGCCUACCAAGGCGAAGACGGGUAGCUGGUCUGAGAGGAUGAUCAGCCACACUGGAACUGAGACACGGUCCAGACUCCUACGGGAGGCAGCAGUGGGGAAUCUUGCGCAAUGGGCGAAAGCCUGACGCAGCGACGCCGCGUGAGUGAUGAAGGCCUUCGGGUUGUAAAGCUCUGUGGAGAGGGACGAAUAAGUCGUAGCUAACAUCUACGAUGAUGACGGUACCUCUUUAGCAAGCACCGGCUAACUCUGUGCCAGCAGCCGCGGUAAGACAGAGGGUGCAAACGUUGUUCGGAAUUACUGGGCGUAAAGCGCGUGUAGGCUGCUUCGCAAGUCGGAUGUGAAAGCCCUGGGCUCAACCUAGGAAGUGCAUUCGAAACUGCGAAGCUUGAGUCCUGGAGAGGAAGGCGGAAUUCUCGGUGUAGAGGUGAAAUU